rnacentral:rRNA from 1 species
UACGGGGGGGGCAAGCGUUGUUCGGAAUUACUGGGCGUAAAGGGCGCGUAGGCGGCCCAAUCAGUCGGGCGUGAAAGCUCUGGGCUUAACCCAGAAAUGUCGCUCGAUACUGUUGGGCUAGAGUGUGGAAGAGGCUACUGGAAUUCCGUGUGUAGCGGUGAAAUGCGUAGAUAUACGGAGGAACACCUGCGGCGAAGGCGGCAUCCUGGACCAAUUCUGACGCUGAGGAGCGAAAGCCAGGGGAGCAAACGGG